UUGAUUCUUGGUUGUUUUCGUUGAAUUGAUUGAGGGGUUUUAUGUUAUACAACGUGUAUAUUUGAUUUAUGUGAAAAUCGGAGGCUGAAACGACCAAAAUUUGGUCGAAAAUGGUUGUCGAAAGGAUCGGCAGUCCGACUGUGGAACAGUGUUUCCCAUGGUCAAACAAUUUAUCCCACAGUCAGCAGACAUUGACCAUGGGUUACGGGGGUAAAGUGGCUUUUUUAAAAUAUUGGGGUGUCGGGGAGAGUCCUUAGCCCACGUUGGGUUUUUCUGCAAUUUCCCAUGAGAUCGUGGGUUUGGAAAAAUUACAAAACUGCCCCUCUAUAUAAACACAGCAAAUUUCAUUUCUUCCCACGACAAUCUUGCGAUUUUCACUGUGCAAUUCAAAGAAAAUUCCAAAGCUACCCACUCUCCCACGACAAACCUCAUUUCCGCCGAUUUUCUUGCUUUCCGACAACCGAAAAUGGCAAAGAAGAUUUGAUUUAUGUGAAAAUCGGAGGCCGAAACAACCAAAAUUUGGCCGAAAAUAGCUGCCGAAAGGAUCGACAAUCCGAUCGUGAGAACAGCGUUUCCCACGGCAAACGAUUUAUCCCACGACAACAGACGUUGACCAUGGCUUAGGGGGGUAAAGUGGUUUUUUUUAAAUGUUGGGGAGCCGGAUGAAAUUCGUUAGAACACAGCGGGUUUUUUUGAAAUUUGUCAUAUAACAGUGGACCUUUUCAAUUAAGGAAUUUUCAUGAGGGGGUAAAUUGAGAAUU